rnacentral:rRNA from 1 species
UACCAGCACCCCGAGUGGUCGGGACGUUUAUUGGGCCUAAAGCAUCCGUAGCCGGUUCUACAAGUCUUCCGUUAAAUCCACCUGCUCAACAGAUGGGCUGCGGAAGAUACUAUGGAGCUAGGAGGCGGGAGAGGCGAGCGGUACUCGAUGGGUAGGGGUAAAAUCCAUUGAUCCAUUGAAGACCACCAGUGGCGAAGGCGGCUUGCCAGAACGCGCUCGACGGUGAGGGAUGAAAGCUGGGGGAGCAAAUGGG